GGAUUAGAUACCCUGGUAGUCCACGCCCUAAACGAUGAUAACUCGAUGUUGGCGAUAUACAGUCAGCGUCCAAGCGAAAGCGUUAAGUUAUCCACCUGGGGAGUACGCCCGCAAGGGUGAAACUCAAAGGAAUUGACGGGGGCCCGCACAAGCGGAGGAGCAUGUGGUUUAAUUCGAUGAUACGCGAGGAACCUUACCCGGGCUUGAAAGUUACUGAAGUUGCCAGAGAUGGCAACGUCCUUCGGGACGAGGAAACUAGGUGCUGCAUGGCGUGUCGUCAGCUCGUGCCGUGAGGUGUUGGGUUAG
rnacentral:rRNA from 1 species